rnacentral:rRNA from 1 species
CCUACGGGUGGCUGCAGUAGGGAAUCUUUCACAAUGGGCGAAAGCCUGAUGGAGCAACGCCGCGUGCAGGAUGAAGGCCUUCGGGUUGUAAACUGCUUUUAUAAGCGAGAAAUAUGAUGGUAACUUAUGAAUAAGGAUCGGCUAACUACGUGCCAGCAGCCGCGGUCAUACGUAGGAUCCGAGCAUUAUCCGGAUUUAUUGGGUUUAAAGGGUGCGUAGGCGGAUUGAUAAGUUAGAGGUGAAAUGUCCGAGCUUAACUCGGGAACUGCCUCUAAUACUGUUGAUCUAGAGAGUAGAUGCGGUAGGCGGAAUGUAUGGUGUAGCGGUGAAAUGCUUAGAGAUCAUACAGAACACCGAUUGCGAAGGCAGCUUACCAAUCUAUAUCUGACGUUGAGGCACGAAAGCGUGGGGAGCAAACAGGAUUAGAUACCCGGGUAGUC